rnacentral:rRNA from 2 species
UACGUAGGGUGCGAGCGUUAAUCGGAAUUACUGGGCGUAAAGCGUGCGUAGGCGGUUCGUUAAGUUCGUUGUGAAAGCCCCGGGCUCAACCUGGGAAUGGCAAUGGAAACUGGCGGGCUGGAGUAUGGCAGAGGGGGGUGGAAUUCCGCGUGUAGCAGUGAAAUGCGUAGAGAUGCGGAGGAACACCGAUGGCGAAGGCAGCCCCCUGGGCCAAUACUGACGCUCAGGCACGAAAGCGUGGGGAGCAAACAGG